rnacentral:rRNA from 1 species
CGGGACGGGGUGGAGUAAUGUCUGGGAAACUGCCUGAUGGAGGGGGGUAACUACUGGAAACGGUAGCUAAUACCGCAUAACGUCGCAAGACCAAAGAGGGGGACCUUAGGGCCUCUUGCCAUCGGAUGUGCCCAGAUGGGAUUAGCUAGUAGGUGGGGUAACGGCUCACCUAGGCGACGAUCCCUAGCUGGUCUGAGAGGAUGACCAGCCACACUGGGACUGAGACACGGCCCAG